GUGCCUAAUACAUGCAAGUAGAACGCUGAAGACUUUAGNCUUGCUAAAGUUGGAAGAGUUGCGAACGGGUGAGUAACGCGUAGGUAACCUGCCUACUAGCGGGGGAUAACUAUUGGAAACGAUAGCUAAUACCGCAUAACAGCAUUUAACCCAUGUUAGAUGCUUGAAAGGAGCAAUUGCUUCACUAGUAGAUGGACCUGCGUUGUAUUAGCUAGUUGGUGAGGUAACGGCUCACCAAGGCGACGAUACAUAGCCGACCUGAGAGGGUGAUCGGCCACACUGGGACUGAGACACGGCCCAGACUCCUACGGGAGGCAGCAGUAGGGAAUCUUCGGCAAUGGGGGCAACCCUGACCGAGCAACGCCGCGUGAGUGAAGAAGGUUUUCGGAUCGUAAAGCUCUGUUGUAAGAGAAGAACGUGUGUGAGAGUGGAAAGUUCACACAGUGACGGUAACUUACCAGAAAGGGACGGCUAACUACGUGCCAGCAGCCGCGGUAAUACGUAGGUCCCGAGCGUUGUCCGGAUUUAUUGGGCGUAAAGCGAGCGCAGGCGGUUUAAUAAGUCUGAAGUUAAAGGCAGUGGCUUAACCAUUGUUCGCUUUGGAAACUGUUAGACUUGAGUGCAGAAGGGGAGAGUGGAAUCCCAUGUGUAGCGGUGAAAUGCG
rnacentral:rRNA from 1 species